CCCUAUGGGGUGCAGCUCGAUUUUGCCGAACCGGAAAAGGCCGAGCUGUACGACCGCCUUAAGAAGGCCAUGGCCCAAAAGGCAAAGCUGGAGCAGUGGAAGGCGGCCCAGGAAAACAUGCUCACCGCCGAGGCGAGGGUGGGCAAGGCCGAAUUCGAACAGCAGAAAAAGCUUCUCACGGCCGAGAAUCAGACCGUCACUAUCAAGGCGCAGAAACUAGAUCGGAGCAUCGCGGCCCUCCUGAAGUUGUGGAAACCCCAGUAUCCGAGCGAUAUCGGCAUGUUCGACAGCUCCGCCCAGGUGGACAUUCCAACAAUUCAAAGGGUCCUGAAUCAAAACCAGGCCUUGAUCCAGUAUUUCCCCCUGCGGGACAAAUUGAGCAUCCUCCUCGUGACCCAGAAUGAGGUCAAGUCCGCCGAAGUGAUCAUCUCUUAUGAGGAAUUGGCGGGAGGGC
rnacentral:rRNA from 1 species